rnacentral:miRNA from 1 species
AUCGGCACUGGGUAACAAUGAA